rnacentral:misc_RNA from 1 species
GCGCCUAUCGCACGUCGCUGACCACGAUCGCUCUGCUGCUGUUCGGAAUUGCGAUGUGGGCGCUAGGCGCGGGCGUCGUGCCGCUGAUGCUGGCGUCGAUGGUCCCCUGGGGCAUGGCGUUUUCGUCGGCCAAUUCGAUGCAGCAGGUCCGGCUUGCCGCGGCGGCGCCACUGUUUGCCAGCGCCACGGUGUCGCUGAACACUUCGGGCCUUUAUAU